GCCGAAGUGGUGGAAUUGGUAGACGCAGCGGACUCAAAAUCCGCCGGGGGCAACUCCAUGAGGGUUCGAGUCCCUCCUUCGGCA
rnacentral:tRNA from 2 species